rnacentral:lncRNA from 1 species
UCUGUGAAUCUUCCUAUGUGGUCCACAUAUAUACUCAUUCAUGGGAAUGUAUAUUUAGAAAUGUAUAUGGCAUAUCCGUAUAUCCAGAGUCCUAGAUACAUAGUAGGCUCUCACUAAAUUCUUGUAAAAUUGACCAUGGCAUGCAUGUGUUCCCAGAAAUAGGGGCAGGAUAAAGAAGUUAGGCAGUCAGGGUACAGUGAAAAAAUACUGGAUUGGUUUUCAGAUCUGGCUCUGCUGCUUGCUCACUGUUCUUUUCCUUUCUAGAUCGGUGAGAUCUUCCCUUUAGCUCCCACACUGUAAAGUGAGUUGUUGGUUUCUGUAAGUUCUAAGGUCCUUUCCAGAUCUGGAUAUCACAUAUAUAAUCGCCUGGGGAUGCAAUGAGGAGCAGUUAAAAUGAUUACUUUUUAUGUGUGUCUCCUUUUAAUGCAGAGAAUCAUACUCUAUGGUGUAUAAGAAUUUGGUUUUGAAUGAAUGAAACUGCAUAUGUUUGAGACAGAUCUACACCGCCAGUGGACAGUAAUCGGCAGGGGGCAUGGUUUUCCAACUUUGCCCAAGCUGCAUGAACUAGCUGGCCCAGCUUUCUAUACACAGGCAUACCAAAAUCUCACACCAAAUAGUGAUGGGAAAGAGUCAUUUGCAUUUUGGUUUAAUGAAGACAUCUAUAGGGAUGAAAUUAAGCUGCUUAAAAAUGCAUUACCAGCUCUUCCACCUGGAGACUUAACUCCUGACAGAUGAGGAAACUGAGUUCCAGAGAGGUCAAGUUGCUUGCCAGUGUCCCACAGCUAACAUGUGUCCAAUUCAGCAUUCAGACACAGAUUUUCCUGAUUUCCAGUUCUCUACCUUCUACAUCAUGUUUCAAAGGAAGGAGAGUUCACUAGUGGUGCUUGGCGAAAACGUUAUGGAGAUAGAAGGGGAUCUGAACUGGGUAGCCCAAGUAAUAGCUUCAGAAGAUAUAUACAUCCACACUAAUCAUGUGAGAUAAUUUAGAAAGGAGGCCUUCAUGUUAAUUAUAAGAAUGACAAUUAAAAUCAGGAAGAAUUUUGAAUGAAUGUUUUGUUUGUUGUUGGUUACUAUUCCAAAAAUUAAAUGCGAUCUCUGACUUAUUCCAGCUGUUGGUAUCAAAGCUAGGACACUGAGCAGUAUAGGGCAAUGGUUGCCUAAGUGUGAUUCAAAGACCCUUAAUGGUCCCCAAAAGCAACACAGGGGAUCUGCAAAGUCAAAACAUUUCAUAAUUCCAAGACAUUUUAAUUUCUGACAUAGUAAAAUGGAUAGCUAUAAUCCACAUAAAUAAAAUAUCUUAGGGGGUCCUCCA